rnacentral:rRNA from 1 species
GGGUCAGUAGGUUGGUCGUGCCACCGGUACGUACUGGUCUCACUGAUUCCUCCUUCCUGAAGAACCGUAAUGCCAUUAAUUUGGUGUUGCGGGGAGACAGGACUGUUACUUUGAAAAAAUUAGAGUGUUUAAAGCAAGCUAACGCUUGAAUACAUUAGCAUGGAAUAAUGGAAUAGGACGAUCGAUCCUAUUUUGUUGGUUUCUAGGAUUGACGUA